rnacentral:rRNA from 1 species
UACGAAGGGGCUAGCGUUGUUCGGAAUCACUGGGCGUAAAGCGCACGUAGGCGGAUUUUAAGUCAGGGGUGAAAUCCCGAGGCUCAACCUCGGAACUGCCUUUGAUACUGGAGAUCUUGAGUCCGGAAGAGGUAAGUGGAACUGCGAGUGUAGAGGUGAAAUUCGUAGAUAUUCGCAAGAACACCAGUGGCGAAGGCGGCUUACUGGUCCGGAACUGACGCUGAGGUGCGAAAGCGUGGGAGCAACAG